rnacentral:tRNA from 1 species
AUUAUUUUGGCAGAAGUAUAUGUAAUAAAUUUAGAAUUUAUAGAUGUAAGGAUUUUACAAAUAAUA